GGAUAUGGCUCAGUGUUAAGCACUUGCCUGGCAUGCAUGAGGCCCUGGGUUCAAUCCCCAAGACCA
rnacentral:tRNA from 1 species